UACCUUAAGACAAAAAUAAUUUAAGGCAAGCCCUGCCCAGUGAAAUCUUCAACGGCCGCGGUAUCCUAACCGUGCAAAGGUAGCAUAAUAACUUGCCUAUUAAUUAUAGGAUAGAAUGAAAGGGUAAACGAAAUAGGAGCUGUCUCUAUUAGCCCAAUGAAAAUUAUUUUUUAACUGAAGAAAGUUAAAUUCAACUGAAGGACAAGAAGACCCUAUAGAGCUUAAUUUAACCUACUAAAUAAGUAAAAAUUAAAUUCGGUUGGGGCGACCGAUGCUCUACAAAUCAUCACCCACAAAAAGAAAUAUACAUCUUAAAAAAGACCCUGACCCAGAUCAAAAAAACAAGCUACCUUAGGGAUAACAGGCUAAUCUCAUUAAUGAGUCCCCAUCUAUAAUGUUGGUUGGCACCUCGAUGUUGGCUUAGGGAAUCAAAAGGGCGCAGAAGCUUUUUAAGACGGUUUGUUCAACCAUUAAACCCCUA
rnacentral:rRNA from 1 species